ensembl:snRNA U6 U6 spliceosomal RNA
GUGCUCACUUUGGCAGCACAUACACUAAAAUUGGAACAAUACAGAGAUUAGCAUGCCCCCUGCACAGGGAUGACAUGCAAACCCGUGAAGCAUUCCAUUAAAAG